rnacentral:tRNA from 1 species
AGAAAGACCGCUGGAACUGCUAACUCCACACCCCAUAAUUAACAUUUAUGGCUUUCUU